AUGCGAAAUAUUUUAUGGGGAGAAAGAUUUUUGUUGACGUUGAUCUUACGAACCAAUGUAUCGGACAUAGGUUACAAUCCAACGCUCUCUUCGUUGAGUCUCCGGCGACCGUUUCUGCGUCAGAGAGGACUCAAUACUCCCUCCGUCUCUCUCAAUUUCCCGCCGAUGCAUUCGUUAUUCAAACCUCGCCGCUCAUUUUGCUCCCUCAAUCACUUCUAUCGCUCCUCAACUUUCAUUUCGGGAGACGCAACAUCGGAAACUACAGUUGGAAGAAGCUCUACGCUCAUCCAUCCAACUGCUGUCGUACAUCCAAAUGCUGUCAUUGGCGAGGAUGGGUAUAUUGGUCCAUUUUGUACUGUGGGAGCCUUUGCAAAGCUGGGAAAUGGUUGCCAAUUGUAUCCUGGGAGCCACAUUUUUGGGUGUACAGAAUUAGGGGAUCGAUGUGUCUUGAUGACUGGCGCUAUAGUUGGCGAGGACAUUCCUGGUCGGACAGUCAUUGGGUGUAAUAACAAAAUAGGUCACCAUGCAGUGGUUGGCAUUAGAUGUCAAGACAUGAAAUAUAAGCCAGGGGAUGAAUGUUUUCUUGAUAUUGGAGAUAACAAUGACAUAAGAGAGCACUCAUCAGUCCACCGAUCUUCGAAGUCCAGUGAUGUGACAGCUAUUGGUGAUAACAAUCUCAUAAUGGGUUCCUGUCAUAUUGCUCAUGAUUGCAAGAUUGGUAACAACAAUAUUUUUGCAAAUAAUACUCUUUUAGCCGGCCACGUUGUGGUGGAGGACUAUGUUCACACAGGAGGCACCACUGCUGUUCAUCAAUUCUGUCAUGUUGGUUCUUUCUCAUUUGUUGCUGCGGGUUCAAUGGUUUCACAAGAUGUCCCCAAAUAUAUGAUGGUGGGGGGAGAAAGACCAGAACUACGUGGGUUAAAUCUAGAGGGACUUCGGCGCAAUGGAUUCACAGUGGAAGAGAUCAUUGGCUUGAGAUCUGCAUACAGGAAGAUAUUCAUGUCUACUGAUGCAAAUUCUGAAGGGUUGGAAGAACGUCUCAACGAAGUGGAACAGCAUGAAAAAUUGGCUCACAUAUCUUCAGUUCGUUCCAUGAUUCAGUCAAUUCGUGCAUCAUUUGAACAAAAUCGUCGGGGCAUAUGCAAAUUCAGACUAUGGAGUAGCUCUUAAGUAAGGCGCGUCGGAGCUCAAGCUCUCGGGAAAAAAAUACUUUCACUUGUUAUAGAUAUACUGUUGAUUGGUGGAGUAUUCAAGAGUUGUAUGACAUUUGUAAGAUCGUUAAGGUCAGCACCUUGAAACAUGGAAAUUAAAAGGAAAGGAACUCUUUAGCUUGACCAACCUAAGGUUUUCUUUUAGGUAAUCUAAAACAAUCUUUCAAAGCUAACACAGCCUCUGACUUUGAACUUUGUUUUUUAACAAAAAAGAAGUUUAAAAAUGAAAAGAAAAAACCUAAUUCCGUGUCUACCUACAAGCCUAGUUUGUCCUAGGUUUCAACAUGUUACACAUUUAGCUCUUAAAUUUUGAGUUUGGUAGUGUUAUAAUUUUACUUUUUAACAUAUGUUUGAAUUUGGUACUUAGAUGUUAUGACAUGCACUUUUAGAAUAUUGUUUGAUUCAAGUAGUUUGAAAAGUCCCUUGUUCAAGUAGUUAGUGAGUCCUACCACUAAAAAAUAUUAAUUUUAUACCUUAUCAACUCCUUUCACUGA